GACGGAGGAUGCAAGCGUUAUCCGGAAUGAUUGGGCGUAAAGCGUCCGCAGGUGGCAGUUCAAGUCUGCUGUCAUAGACCGGGGCUUAACUUCGGAAAGGCAGUGGAAACUGAACAGCUAGAGUAUGGUAGGGGCAGAGGGAAUCCCUGGUGUAGCGGUGAAAUGCGUAGAGAUCAGGAAGAACAUCGGUGGCGAAGGCGCUCUGCUGGACCAUAACUGACACUCAGGGACGAAAGCUAGGGGAGCGAAUGGG
rnacentral:rRNA from 1 species